rnacentral:rRNA from 1 species
UAAGGAAUAUUGGUCAAUGGACGCAAGUCUGAACCAGCCAUGCCGCGUGAAGGAUGAAGGUCCUCUGGAUUGUAAACUUCUUUUAUCUGGGACGAAAACGGGAUUUUUAUCUCAAUUGACGGUACCAGAGGAAUAAGCACCGGCUAACUCCGUGCCAGCAGCCGCGGUAAUACGGGGGGUGCGAGCGUUAUCCGGAUUUACUGGGUUUAAAGGGUGCGUAGGUGGGCUUAUAAGUCAGUGGUGAAAUCUCCGAGCUUAACUUGGAAACUGCCGUUGAUACUAUAGGUCUUGAAUUAUCUGGANGUAAGCGGAAUAUGUCAUGUAGCGGUGAAAUGCUUAGAUAUGACAUAGAACACCAAUUGCGAAGGCAGCUUACUACAUAUAAAUUGACGCUGAGGCACGAAAGCGUGGGGAUCAAAC